GCAGUCGAACGAACUCUGGUAUUGAUUGGUGCUUGCAUCAUGAUUUACAUUUGAGUGAGUGGCGAACUGGUGAGUAACACGUGGGAAACCUGCCCAGAAGCGGGGGAUAACACCUGGAAACAGAUGCUAAUACCGCAUAACAACUUGGACCGCAUGGUCCGAGUUUGAAAGAUGGCUUCGGCUAUCACUUUUGGAUGGUCCCGCGGCGUAUUAGCUAGAUGGUGGGGUAACGGCUCACCAUGGCAAUGAUACGUAGCCGACCUGAGAGGGUAAUCGGCCACAUUGGGACUGAGACACGGCCCAAACUCCUACGGGAGGCAGCAGUAGGGAAUCUUCCACAAUGGACGAAAGUCUGAUGGAGCAACGCCGCGUGAGUGAAGAAGGGUUUCGGCUCGUAAAACUCUGUUGUUAAAGAAGAACAUAUCUGAGAGUAACUGUUCAGGUAUUGACGGUAUUUAACCAGAAAGCCACGGCUAACUACGUGCCAGCAGCCGCGGUAAUACGUAGGUGGCAAGCGUUGUCCGGAUUUAUUGGGCGUAAAGCGAGCGCAGGCGGUUUUUUAAGUCUGAUGUGAAAGCCUUCGGCUCAACCGAAGAAGUGCAUCGGAAACUGGGAAACUUGAGUGCA
rnacentral:rRNA from 2 species